GAAGCACUGGUAACAUUGUUGGAUGAAGGAAUAAUUGUGAAUACAUCUCAAUUACUCCAAGAGGAAGCAGAUCCCGAGAGGGGAGUUUGCUGGGAACAGUCACAGCGGCAGGCGCUCGGCUCUUCACGCCAAGAAUGCUUGUGGGCUCCCCGCCAGAUGCAGCACAGGCCAGACCACAGCUGAAUCCCCCAGGCAAUGCAAAGCCAAAAUCUGAAUUCCUCAACUGCAGAGACUUCUGUCUGUCUCACGGCCGAAUCCCCAGAACCAGGAACGGCGUCUGGCACACGGUAGGUGCUCCACACCAUUGAGUCAGUGACUGGAUGUUCGCAUUUGGGCCUGUUGGAGGUUGUAGAUUGGAGGCGUAG